UAGACCCUUGAUGAUGACUGGUGGUGAUGAGUCAAGGAUGGUGAAUAAUAUGUGUCUGGAUGUCUGAGGUCCAG